GGCUUCCUGGAAAACAUGGAGUGUUGGCUGAGAUCUGAAGGAAAAUAAAGGUCUCCUGCCAAGGUCUUCCAUUGGGUGAACCCAAAGUGAAGCCAUAAGGAUCUAAACCCCUUUGAGCACUCAGAUACCAGGCCAACGAAAGCUAAAGAAUUGAUGCUGAUCCUUGCUGGCUAUAGACCUUCAUGACUUCAACCUGGAUUCUGCCAACUUAAGAUGACUUUUGCCCCAAUGUCAUGCUGCAUUCCCCUUUGUACAAGCCCUUUAUUUUG